UACAGAGGUCUCAAGCGUUGUUCGGAUUCAUUGGGCGUAAAGGGUGCGUAGGUGGCGAGGUAAGUUGGAGUGUGAAAUCCCGGGGCUCAACCCCGGAACUGCAUUCAAUACUGCCUUGCUAGAGUACUGGAGAGGAGAUUGGAAUUUACGGUGUAGCAGUGAAAUGCGUAGAUAUCGUAAGGAAGACCAGUGGCGAAGGCGGAUCUCUGGACAGUUCCUGACGCUGAGGCACGAAGGCCAGGGGAGCAAACGGG
rnacentral:rRNA from 1 species